GACGAACGCUGGCGGCGUGCCUAAUACAUGCAAGUCGAACGCUUCUUUCCUCCCGAGUGCUUGCACUCAAUUGGAAAGAGGAGUGGCGGACGGGUGAGUAACACGUGGGUAACCUACCCAUCAGAGGGGGAUAACACUUGGAAACAGGUGCUAAUACCGCAUAACAGUUUAUGCCGCAUGGCUUAAGAGUGAAAGCCGCUUUCGGGUUUCGCUGGUGGAUGGGCCCGCGGUGCAUUAGCUAGUUGGUGGGGUAACGGCGCACCAAGGCCACGAUGCAUAGCCGACCUGAGAGGGUGAUCGCCCAAACUGGGACUGAGACACGGAGCAGAUUCCUACGGGAGGCAGCAGGUGGGAAUCUUCGGCAAUGGACGAAAGUCUGACCGAGCAACGCCGCGUGAGUGAAGAAGGUUUUCGGAUCGUAAAACUUUGUUGUUAGGGAAGAACGAGGACGUUAGUAACUGAACGUCCCCUGACGGUAUCUAACCAGAAAGCCACGGCUAACUACGUG
rnacentral:rRNA from 1 species